rnacentral:sRNA from 1 species
GAGAGGAGUGAGAGUCGGCCAAAGACAGCAGGGAGGGCGGGGUCAAGAUGCCACCUGGCCGAUGGACCCCGGGAAGCUGCAUGGAUCUCAAAUGGGCCAAGGGCCCCGGGCUUGGAAGGGCAGGUGGCGCCUAGACCCAGCGUUCCCGCUCCACAGGUCUCCAGGAGUUCGCCCGGCGUUUCCUCUGCAGCGGGUGCUACUCUAGGGUCUGCGACCUCCCGCUGGACUGCCCAGUUCAGGAUGUGACAGUGACUCGGGGCGACCAGGCUAUGUUUUCUUGCAUCGUAAACUUCCAGCUGCCAAAGGAGGAGAUCACCUAUUCCUGGAAGUUCGCAGGAGGAGCUCCGGACUCAGGACUUGUCCUAUUUCCGAGAUAUGCCGCGGGCCGAAGGAUACCUGGCGCGGAUCCGGCCGGCUCAGCUCACGCACCGCGGGACGUUCUCCUGCGUGAUCAAGCAAGACCAGCGCCCCCUGGCCCGGCUCUACUUCUUUCUUAACGGUGGGGCGGGGCGCGGCGGCGUGAGUGAGCGGGGUGGGGAGAGGGGUGGGGCUCGUGCCUGGCUGACGUGCGCGCCCCCGCAGUGACGGGACCGCCCCCGCGGGCGGAGACAGAGUUGCAGGCCUCGUUCCGGGAAGUGCUGCGCUGGGCGCCGCGGGAUGCCGAGCUGAUCGAGCCCUGGAGGCCCAGCCUGGGCGAGCUGCUGGCCAGGCCCGAGGCUCUGACGCCCAGCAACCUGUUCCUGAUUGCAGUCCUCGGGGCCCUCGCAUCAGCGAGUGCGACAGUGUUGGCGUGGUGAGUUCUGGGGACUCCGGAGCCCCAGCAUCUAGCCCCCUCCUCCCUCAGAUCUAAGAGUCCAGGCCCCCAGGUUCCUCCUCCCUGAGACCCAGAAGCCCAGGCCCCAGCCCCUCCUCCUUCAGACCCAGGUGUCCAGGACCCCAGCCCCUUCCUCCCUCAGACCCAGGUUUCCAUCCAGGCCCCUGGCCCCUCCUCCCUCAGACCCAGGAAUCCAGGCCCCCAGUCCUUCCACCCGCAGACCCAGAAAUCCAAGCCCCCAGCCCCCUCCUCCCUCAGACCCAGGUUUCCAUCCAGGCCCCGGACCCUCCUCCCUCAGACCCAGGAGUCCAGGCCCCAGCCUUCUACUCCCUCAGACCCAGGUUUCCAUCCAGGCCCCCAGGCCCCCUCCUCCCUCAGACCCAGGAGUCCAGGUCCCCAGCCCCUCCUCCCUCAGAUCCAAGAGUCCAGACCCCCAAGUUUCUCUUCCUUCAGACCCAAAAGCCCAGGCCCCCUGCCCCCUCCUCCCUCAGACCUAGGAGUCUGGGCUCCCAGCCCCCUCGUCCCUCAGACCCAGGAGUCGGGGCCGCCAUCCCCUCCUCCCUCAGAACCAGGAGUCCGGGCCC